GUCCACGCCGUAAACGAUGUCGACUUGGAGGUUGUGCCCUUGAGGCGUGGCUUCCGGAGCUAACGCGUUAAGUCGACCGCCUGGGGAGUACGGCCGCAAGGUUAAAACUCAAAUGAAUUGACGGGGGCCCCGCACAAGCGGUGGAGCAUGUGGUUUAAUUCGAUGCAACGCGAAGAACCUUACCUACUCUUGACAUCCACGGAACUUGGCAGAGAUGCCUUGGUGCCUUCGGGAACCGUGAGACAGGUGCUGCAUGGCUGUCGU
rnacentral:rRNA from 1 species